rnacentral:rRNA from 1 species
UACAGAGGUCUCAAGCGUUGUUCGGAUUCAUUGGGCAUAAAGGGUGCGUAGGUGGCGCAGUAAGGCAGGUGUGAAAUCUCGGGGCUCAACCCCGAAACUGCACUUGAUACUGCGGUGCUCGAGUACUGGAGAGGAGAUUGGAAUUUACGGUGUAGCAGUGAAAUGCGUAGAUAUCGUAAGGAAGACCAGUGGCGAAGGCGAAUCUCUGGACAGUUACUGACACUGAGGCACGAAGGCCAGGGGAGCGAACGGG